UGGGAUUGCAUUGAAGGAACAUUUUACUAUUUAUGAAGAAAGAACCUACUGCGGAUGACUUACAUUUGGAUGCCAGAAAACUGCUGAUAAAACCUGGAAGUGAAGUUCAUAUCAACGAUAUCAUCGAGUUUGAAAUCUUUUAUACAUAUGAAGUUUUUACUAACUUUUUAGGCUGUUUUAAAAAAAUUUAAUAUGCCUGUAUUCCUACAUUUCUAAAACGGCUUGUUUUUCCAGUGCCCAUUCUUCUAUGCAGGUUUAUUACACAGCGGUAGGUUUUUAGCAAUUAUUUUCACCAUGUUUGUGGUAUGAAGGUUAUUUUUUAGCAAGUUCUGCACUCCAGAGAUUUCUAUUUUGUAGUGCCUUUAAUAAUAUAUCAACUAAAUAUUGAAAAAGUGCAUCUGAGCAGCUAGGGAAAAGUUUUUAAACAAUAUAUUUUGAAGAAUAUAUUCAUAUUUAAAGAAUACAUGCAAUAGAUUUUUUUUUUAAAGAAAGAAAUUAUAUACAAACGUGUGUCUUAUUUAAAAAGUUAAACUGGAAAGUGCAAUUUGAAAGUGACUGAGACCUCUACAUUACGUCCUGGCAUUCGUAUGGUUUCUUAGUUAUCUGGAGCCACAACGAACCCCCUCUUUGUUGAUAUAAAGAUGCUCCUAUGAAUUAGCUCGGUUAAAUUACGCUUAAUUUUGAGAAUAACCUGCUCCACAGAGCCACCUUAGAUAUUUAUCAGCAUUCUUUAAUAUUUUCCAGGCUCCGAGCAUAAGCAAGAAGCAAGUCUAUUAUAUUUCAUGGAGGGAAAAUAUUCUUCCAAUUUGCUCAUUUACUACAGAAGCAGUUGCCCUAGGAUUUUUAUUUUUAAGGGUUUAUGGAACCCUACGGCAUCGCUGCACAUGUGAGUACAGUCAUACCUCGGGUUACAGACGCUUCAGGUUGCGCGUUUUCAGGUUGCGCACCGCGCCGAACCCGGAAGUACCGGAACGGCACCGAAUCAUGACCCACGCGUGUGCAGACGCAGCGCUGCGGGUUGCGAACGUGCCUCCCGCACGGAUCACGUUCACAGCCCAAGCAUCCACUGUAGUAUGUAGAUUGCUCCAAACUCCAUCUGCAAGCUUCUGUCUUUGGUGUUGCUCCUUCAUGAGAAAGUAGGCAUUCAGAUGUCAUGAAACCAAGCUCUCUUGUGGGAGGAACUAUUUCUCAGUGACUCUGCAUGCAGGAAAUCUCACGUUUAGUCCCUGGCAUCUACACAAAAUGGAUUGGGUAGCAAGUGACCUCUGUGCCAGUCCAUAGUAAUCGAUACCAGCCUGACCCAGUGCAGUUCCUGUCUUAUAGCAACUGUACCUUGGUUUCAUUUAUACAAGCACAGAAACCAUGGUUAAACUUUGUGGUAGAGUUAGUUGGCUCCCGAGAAUAAGUGGUGUUGUAUCCCAAGGUGCAAAUGGCAGCAUUUAUUCUAGAUACUCAUAUUCUGUGCCUUUAGCUUCCAUUUUUAAAUAGAGGUUAAGCCAAAACUUGAAUCUAAGUGAGAAUGAACUAAAGGGCUGUUUGUCUCACGAUGUGAGACAUUUUGCCCCUGAGUCAAGAGGUUUUUAAUAUCUUUCUCAGAUUUUUUUAGACAUGGUAUUUGACUUGUGACCAGUGGCCUUCGAUGCUUGCUUUCAUAGUUUCAGCUUUGGAUAACUUUUUGUUUGUCCUAAAUCCUUACCAACCUCUUUGGGUUGGCUGAAUUUUGGCCUUGCACAAGGCACCACUGAAAUUUGAAAUUUCCCUGCUGCCAUGCACUAAGGUAUCAGUGUAAGAGGGUAAAAGUAACUGUCUGUGGUGGUACUUCUGCAUCAAACCCAAACAAGUCAGGAUUCCCUGAUAAGGAAAUAUUAAUUCUGCACCAACGCAAGUCAACCUUUGUGACCUGCACAUAAAAUCUGGUCCUUAGGAAAGUCGAGGAGCUAUGUAGGGCAUUGAAGUGCCCCAGCUUUCAUAGGCUGCUGGGAGUCUUAUUCAACCACCUCUAUGACACUAGACUUUCAAUCUUCACGCUUUUCAUGUGAACUAAAGUCCCUUUUUUUUUUAAAGGACAAAAAUAAAAGGCUCCAGAACUCAAGCUUCCUAAGUAUAUCUUAGCUACUUUCAGUUGGUGAUCCUUUUUGUGUAUUUGCACGGCAUCAUGACAUUUGCACGCAGCCUUCAUUCUAAGUUUUAUAACAGUUCGAGAGGAAAAUCUGCAGAUACGCGGGAGCUCACUACAUAUACCGGUUACUCACAUGUGCAGAGAUUCACAGGGGAUAAUAGAUUCCCUUUCCUACUUUGGGUUUUCUCAUGUCCUGCUUUAGCGCUUUAUACAUGAAUAACUUCUUUGAACUCCAUAAUGUGAACAAGCUCUGCAUCCCAGUAUAGUCUCAAACCUUCGUUCUUUUUCUAGUGUAUGCUGUAGAGACAAAAGAAUGUACGCUAGUGUAGUCCAGGACGAAACAUGCUCUUGUUCACCAUAAAUAUUGCUUAUUAAAGUAGCUGCGUCAGUUUCUUGCUGAGGUUAAGGGGCAUAGUAAUAAAGUACUUAAGUGGGUUUUGUUCUCUCGCCUUAUUCUCCUUUCCACACGUGGUUCUCAUUACCAUUUAAUGGGACUUGUGCAUGUACACCGGAGAAGGAAGUUAUAUGGACCACUUUUUGUUUUUUUAAGCCUGUAAAUAUAUUUGCAGUACAUUUUAAGAGUCGUUUUAUUUCUCUGUAUUACACGGCAAUGCGGUGUGCCACAAAGUCAAUGUUUUAUUUCAACGGUUAUUAAAGAAGAAGAAGGAGGUUAAGUAAUAUUAUUGCAGUGUUUUGUGGCCUGUUUCAAGGCUUUUUUGUAGUAGUGCAGUGAAUGUAAAAUACAGUAAACUUUGCAAUGAGUGGUUCGGUCGGCUUUAGGCGACGUGGCCCAGUACCACUUGAAACUUAGGUGCCUUAGAUGAAUCUACAGAUGAUGAGUGGAUUCCAAGGGGUCAUGAAGGGAGCCCUUUCGCACUCAACCACACUGGUGCUUCAGCAGACCCUCCCACCGAUUUGCCCCAAAGAGAUGCUCCCACAAAUCUGGGAACCUGCUGGAGCUAGAAGCAACCACAGAAACCCUAGUGAUUUGAGUAGGAUUCCUUGGGCCACAUAGACAGCAUCCUGGGAGCCCAACCUGGGCAUUCAGUAUGUACAGAUGCCUAAGGCAACAGCUGAAUUCAGAAGCUUAGGUAAUGCUUAGAAUUAAAGAAGAGCUUUGUGUGCAGUUUUCAGAAUCCAGACAGCCCUCCUCGGCAAACUUUUCCAGAAUUUAAAUCCUAAAUGAAAAUAUUCUCAAGGGUAUCCUUCCCGCACCCCCAUGUUACAGGAGAACUGGAAAGCAUUUUGCUAUAGAAAUAAGUAGCAGUCAUUAUUUUUAUUUUUAAAAAUGGGUGGUCCUUUAAAAUAUCCACAACUGGAGGGCUUACUGGUGCACCCUACCUCAAAGGGCCACCGUUAACUACUGAUUUUAUUUAUUUUUUCACAAGCUGCAUUGCUUUCACGUGGCUAUCCAAAAAGCCCUGCCACACUUGAAAUACAUUUGCUUCAAAGCCUGGAUCCUAAACAUAGUCCAGUUGCCCCUGGCGUGUUAAAUUUGAAUUUGAACAGUACUACCAUAAUUCAGGCAGGGUGGCGCUGUGGGUUAAACCACAGAGCCUAGGACUUGCCGAUCAGAAGGUUGGCGGUUCAAAUCCCUGCGAUGGGUGAGCUCCCAUUGCUCAGUCCCUGCUGCUGUCAACCUAGCAGUUCGAAAGCACGUCAAAGUACAAGUAGAUAAAUAGGUACCGCUCCAGCAGGAAGGUAAACGGCGUUUCCAUGCGAUGCUCUGGUUUGCCGGAAGCGUUUUAGUCAUGCUGGCCACAUGGCCCAGAAGCUGUACGCCGGCUCCCUCGGCCAAUAAAGCGAGGUGAGCGCCACAACCCCAGAGUUGGUCACGACUGGACCUAAUGGUCAGGGUUCCCUUUACCUUUACCACAAUUCAGGCAGGGUGGCAAAUAAUUGAACAAAAAGGUAGCCUAGCCCUCAUUAAAAAACCUAGCAUUUUGGAUGGCCAGCUGGGCUAGAAUUCCCCCCCCCAACACCUAGUGUUUGGGGAGGUUUUGCGUUUCGCUGUGUACUUUUUGAAUCGGGGAGCAUUCCAGCCAUACGAAUCGUUACGGUAUGAUGUGAAGUAGGGCAGUCAAGACACAGGUUUUUCCACUACAACAGAAACUUAAGAAUGUAAGACAAGUCCCGCUAGCUCACAUCAAAGCCCCAUCUAGUCCACCAUCCUUUUUUCACAGUGGCCAACCAGAUGGGGAAACCAUAAGUAGGACCUUAGGCCUCUUUCAUGGGCUACAGCUAUGGAGAAACUCAACACAAGUUGGGGCAACCUUCGAGUGCAACUUUCUGAAUCAAUCUUUAUUUAACCCAUGUUAGUCAAGCAGACUUUUUCUCCGCCAUCUCCCAUUCUGCUAUCUUCUGUGAAAUCUCUCGUAAAACCGGUUGCCGGUGGCAAAAGCUGCAGGUGACCAUGCUCAAACGAAGCACCACUAUCUCCUUAAUUUUUCAUCUCCCACGUAGGAGACCCAAUCUUUGAAACCUUUAAUCAAACAGGACUGCUUGUGCCAACCUACCCAAGUACUUGAACAGAAGGGAAGCUCUUACUGUAUUUUACAUAUACGCGUAUAGCAUCUGUAAGAAAGGCACAUCCCCAACAAAUAACCGAGUGAAUGUUCUUUGAAAUGCCCAUAGGAACUCCGGACAGGUGCAAAGGUGCUGGCUUGCAACACCAGGUAGCAGGGAUCAUCGAGGCCAUUUAAGCGUCAAUGAACCACCACUCAGUGGUCUGACUACACAAACCAUUUCAUUUAUACACUACUGAGGCAAGUUUAUGACUUGAAAUGUGAACUUUUCUUAGGUUAAGAACAAACUAUAGAAAAAGAUAUUAUUAUGUAUGUUUGCCUUGUUUUCAAAUGUGCUAUUUACUUUAGGCGUUGUUGGUUUUUUGCUGUAUUUCCUGUCCUUUUGUGAAUGUCGGUGUUGCUGCUGUUCCAUGAAAAGUACUUUCCUAGGAGGUAGUAAAUAAAACAUUCCUUAAAAACA